rnacentral:ncRNA from 1 species
GGUUUCAGUCAUUAUUUUGGUGUUACAGCGGAAAUAAAUGGCUGGAUUAAAAUGGGAAAGAGGUGAAAAACCUCUGCGGUCCCGCCGCCGUAAGGUUUAAAGAUAAUCAAAACUGCCACUGGGAAAACCGGGAAGGCUAAUUAUUAACUAAACUGAGCCGGAAGACCUGCCUUUAUUUGUAAACACCA